rnacentral:misc_RNA from 1 species
UUUCCGUAGGUGAACCUGCGGAAGGAUCAUUACAGAGUUCAUGCCCUCACGGGUAGAUCUCCCACCCUUGAAUAUUUAUACCUUAGUUGCUUUGCCAGGCCGUGGAAACACCAUGGGCUCCGGCUUAUGCGUGCCUGCCAGAGGAAACAAACUCUGUUUUUAGUGAUGUCUGAGUACUAUAUAAUAGUUAAAACUUUCAACAACGGAUCUCUUGGUUCUG